UCUAGCAGAAGCAGUUGGUUGUAAUGAGCAUGCCGCCAUAUUAGCUGUUAAUUUGUCGCGAAAUUUCAAAGAAGUAUAUGUGCUUGAUGACUGUUUCAUAUUGAUUAAAUAAGACGUGCACCGAAUCCGCUUUCUGCAAGAAACUAAAUGUAGAUGCAAUUUCUAUCCAUUGAAGUGUUUUUUUUUUACAAGAUUCAACCUCUGUAUAUGUAAACUAAAAUUCAAACCAACUUUCAUCAAGGUCAUUAGUGAAACAAUAUUCACUGUUCAGCCUGCUUCAUCUGCAAAAUCUUCCAACAUAUCAUGUGAUGUAGUACCUCAAGGAAAAAUUUCGUAGGGUCGUAAUAAAGAUUUGCAAACUGUUUGCUGUACUGUCAUCAACAUCAAUGACUAAAGGAAACCACCUAUGGUAUUAUUUGCUUGUGGAAUGUGACUGUAUGCUCGAAGGUGACCUACAAUGUUCAUGGAUAAGCUUUAGCACCUUACCAAUUAAAGCUGCUAAUGCUGCAAUGGCCAAAGUAAUUCAUUAUACAAUGGACAGUCAUGGCAUGAGUGUCGAUUGUCGUCAUGUCGCCGUGUUAUUCGAUCGGAUGAGUUGCCGUGGUGAAAUCUUGGGCAUUACCAGCAAUACUUUUUAUAUUGUAUUAUAUUAUAUGCACUCAGAAAAAUUUGUUUCAUUCUGAUCUACUUUUUUUCUGUCUAGGGUCAAAAGGUAAGUGUUUUCUUGCAUUUCUAGUGUGAUUACUUUAAUAUGGUUUUGUUAACAGUGCGGAGAAGGACAUUUUGCCAGAGAGUGUCCACAAGCUGGUGGAGGCGGUGGUAGUGGUCCGUUGACGUCACAAAGUAAGAUGAAAAUAUCGAAAAAUACGUUCAAACUUCUUGGUGUUUUUUUAUAGUAUGGGGAAGGGGGACAUUUCUCGAAGGAUUGUCCACAAGAGGGCCGCGGCGUUGGUGGAAGUCGUACCUGCUAUGAGGUUACAGGAAAAGAUGUACCUCAAUACAUAACAUUUGAAGAAGCCGGCCUGCGCCAACUACUACUUCAAAACAUUAAGAAUUCUGGCUACAUAAAACCAACACCUGUGCAGAAAGCUUCAGUUGCAGUUAUUCUUGCCAAAAGAGAUUUAAUUGCUUGUGCUGUCACGGGCUCCGGCACAACGGAACUGUCAUGAGCCAUCAGCGGUCAAAUCUUCAAGCUGGGUGCAAUACUCUUGUCGCGACCGCGGGGCAACUCGAGGAUUUUCUCGACCUUGGAGUAUUUUACUUCUCGACGACCAGGUUUUUAAUUUUGGACGAAGCUGAUCGAAGGCUUUAUGGGUUUCGGUCUCGAUAUUGAAAACAUUGUCAACCAUCCAACGAUGCCUCCGAAAGGAAUCCGUCGUGUUUGUAUGUUUACGGUUUCACUGGCGCCCAAGUCGGAAAAUUGCCUUGUCUGGAAAUUUGGUAAAGUGUGACGGCUUUUGGCAGAACUAUGAUUGAGAAAACAAGAGAGGAUGUGGAGUCUAAAUUUUGCGCCGAGAAUGGCUAUGCCCAUGACGCCAAAGUAAUCUAUGGUAACACAGAUUCCGUAAUGGUGAAAUUCGGUGUACCCACGGUGGCCGAAGCCAUGGAAUUAGGCCGAGAAGCUGCCGCAUUUGUGUCGGCAAAAUUUGUCUAACCCAUUAAUUUGGUAUUGGGAAAAGUCUAUUACCCCUAUUUAUUGAUCAACAAAAAGAGGUAUGCAGGAUUGUAUUGGACCAAACCUGAAAAGUUUGACAAAAUGGAUUGUAAAGAUAUAGAAAUCGUUCGUCGUGAUAAUUGCCAACUCGUUGCCAAUCUUAUCAAUAGCUGUCUGCAGAAAAAUCUUGAUGGAGCGAGACCCGGAUGGAGCCUUAGAAUACGCUAAACAAACAAUUUCCGACUUGCUGUGCAACAAAGUCGAUUUCUCACUUAUGGUGAUUACCAAGGGGCUGACUAAAACAGAUAAAGACUACGCCAGCAAACAAGCACAUGUGGAACUAGCUCACAAGAUGCUCGAGAUUGCCCCAUCUUUUACAUGAGGACAAAAGUUAGAAAAGAUCUCACGGAACAGGAUAAACUUAUGAAAAGAUUCGGCCUACCCUGACCUAACGCUCUCGUCAAUGAUGGUGCAUACAGGUGCUGUGUUGAGCUGAGCUGCUGAUGGCAACAUUUAACAUGGCGUCGUAGCGGCUGGUUAUAUCACGGCAGCCGAACGUGGCAGACCUUGCUUUUUGUAGGUGAAAUUCAAGGGUAGAACUGCAAAUGCUCGGCGCCAUCUUGUACCAACGAUGUGGUCUGGCGAACACCUUGCCAAGGUGACCAUGCAUUACCUUUGAAUGUAUUUAAGGGUAAGUUGCAAGUCGGUAGAUUUGCUCCGCAGUUUCCCGGAUACCAGCACCCUGCUUCGCGAGAACUACUCUACGUUGUUCUCGGAGACUUAGACGAACAUCUGAAUCCGAUUUUGAAGAAGUCUUGCAUCGAUGGACACUGACAAAAUAUAGGAAGCUGCACAUGAAUGUUGGGUAUUUUAUCAUAAGUAGAAUACAGAAAGAUUCUGUAGUAGUAGAUCUCUUUAGUUGGGUAUUGAAAUUGGCUUUGGUGUGUCUGGGGUCCGAUGGGGUCUCAGUUGCAUUUGAUCCUACUUGUUAUUUAUCACUGCAAAUGCCAGUCGAAAAGGAAGUACCAGUUGACCUGUAUCUGGCUUACAUGGAUCUUUUAGCAGAAAGUUUUCUGCUUUCAAGGGAUUCGAAGAGUUUGCAAAAUAUUAUGUCUCUAGGAUUCCACAGUUUUACGUAAUUCAAUUGACAAGAAAUGUAUACUGAUUCUUGUUUUAUUUUUCUAAAGGCAGAUUCGUAAUUAUAAAGAAUUGGAAAAGAAAAUCGACGGAGGCUCAGUACCAAAAAAAUUAUGGUAGUUGGAAUGAUUACCGAAGCUCUUCGGAUUGUUUAUUUCACGCGUUAUGCGGGUCAUGCAGAUACUGUGAUCAGCAGAGAAGGUUAGAAGUGCGCUGCCCGGAAAGCAAAUUUGGGGUAAAAGAAAAAAAACUUAUUCCAACUAGUAAGCAAUUUCCAAAUUCAACCAAAAA